rnacentral:misc_RNA from 1 species
GCCAGGUAACAAAAUAAGAUGUUACAGAUACACCUGUUUAUACUAACUGGAAGUGCAGUGAACAGUGAGCCGAGUUAUUUUUAAAUUUCGUUAAAUUUAACCCAUAAGUGGUGAAAUUUUCGUCCGCUUCUUUUUGUUUGUGAGUUACCAGUUAUUAUUUACGGAAAAUAAUGGAAGAUGAGAAAGUUUUGGUUCCAGUGCGGGAAAAACGAAAACACAAAUUUUUGGAGAAACUAAAGUUACAGGGUGUCGCUAAGGAUAAUAAAAUCGUCAUGGGAAUUUCAAAAAGUGAUGUGAGUUCUCCAAAAUCUCAGCCAUUCACUCCAGAGAGUUUAAGUCCAACAGUGAGUUCCCCGAAAUCUCAAUGCAAACAGUUGGAUGCAGAAAGUAUAUUUCAGACAGUGAGUUCUCCAAAAUUUCAGCUACUGACUCCAGAAAGUCUAAGUCCAACAAUGGCGAGCGAAUCUCCCACGGACAAUAAUGCAAAUGGUACCGAGCCGCCGCUUCAGACGAUCGUAAAAAACCCAUCAAGGACGACAGUAACCACAACUUCAUUACAGACGAACUCCCAAUCCAGUACGACAACGACACGCGUUAGCAAAACCUCGACCAGCGCUUCAACGACCAGCCAACGGCGCCAGCUCACCGAUUUAAAAGCUUCCAACAUGAAGAGCGAUUUAGUAGACUUUAAAAACAACAUAAACGACAUGAAAAGCAGCUUACCCAACACCCUUUUGCAGAUAAGAAACUCGCUAGAAAAUUUAGUCGACGCCGAAGAAAAUGAUCCCAUCGUUACGUUUCCUGAUGAUACCCCAGUGCCAUCCGAGAUCGGCUCACCAACGAAUGCAGUGGAAUCGCUUAAAUUUGAACAGAAGACUACAAAUAACUUUAAGAAGACCACGGUAAUGAAAGAUGGAAUCAGUGCCGAAAAAGAAAGUGCCAAAAUGGCGGAAAUGAAAAUACUUCAAGCUGGUGACGUUUCUUACGAAGAAAACAACGCAGCCCGGGCUACUCGAGCGAGAGUUGAAAUCGAUGGAGUUUCGGCGGAGAAAAGUCAAGUCAUGGCCAAAGAAGCUAGAUCUCUCAAAGCUGGAGAUCUCAGCCAACAGGAGUCCAAAAACCUGGCUCAAACGAAUAUGAAAGUUACAACAGACAAGUUCAGUAGUGAAAGAACAGCCAUGGAAUCCCAGCAACAAAGACAGACUGUUACAGCUAGCGGCUUUUACAAUCAAGAAAAACACAGUUCUAGCACAAGUCACAUAUACACCUCUUCUUCUUCAAAAGGUCUUAGCACAUCGGCAAAGAUCAAUGCAACAAGACAGUUUCACUUAUUAAAUGGCACACCCGAAGAAGCAAUAUUAAACACGUCAUUAGAAGAUCUCGACAGUCUCUCAGCCACUUCCGAUGUCCACGAUAUCGAAAGAGCAAAACACAAAUAUUCUACAUAUUUAGACGAAUCCAUUAGAUGCCUUCAAAAACUAGACCAAAACAAAGAUGCACCCCUAGUGUUAGAUAAAAUCAAUGACGUCAUGCGUAAAGCAUGGGCAGUACCGACCUAUGGUCACGAACUUGGCUAUGCUCUAUGCAAUGCGCUACGAAACAGUGGGGGAUUAGACCUGAUAAUGCAGAACUGCACAAAAUCGGAUAAGAGCCUUCAAUUUGCCAGCGCUAAAUUACUAGAGCAGUGCCUUACUGCAGAAAAUAGAGCACAUGUAGUAGAGCACGGUCUGGAUAAAGUCGUAAACGUAGCUUGUGUCUGCACAAAGAUUUCAAAUUCUGUCGACCAUUCAAGGGUAGGAACCGGAAUAUUGGAGCAUUUGUUUAAACACAGUGAAGAAACAUGUAGCGACGUCGUUAGGCUUGGUGGUUUGGAUGCUUUACUAUUCGAAUGCAGAAAAAGUGACGUAGAAACCUUAAGGCACUGUGCUGGAGCUUUAGCAAACCUUAGUUUAUACGGUGGUACCGAGAAUCAAGAAGCUAUGAUAAAGCGAAAGGUUCCGAUGUGGUUAUUCCCCUUAGCAUUCCACACCGACGAUAAUAUUAAGUACUACGCUUGCCUUGCCAUAACCGUAUUAGUAGCUAACCCCGAAAUCGAAGCUGAAGUCUUGCAAUCUGGCACUCUUGGUCUGGUAGAACCUUUCGUCACUACACACAACCCUUCCGAAUUCGCGAAAUCGAAUCUAGCUCAUGCUCACGGACAAAGCAAAACCUGGCUGAAAAAUUUAGUUCCUGUCUUAAGCUCAAAACGUGAAGAAGCUAGAAACCUAGCCGCCUUCCAUUUCUGCAUGGAAGCCGGAAUCAAGAAGCAGCAGGGAAACACUAACAUGUUCUCUGAAAUCGGUGCUAUCGAAUCACUCAAAAAAGUAGCCAGUUGUCCUAAUGCCGUCGCCUCAAAAUAUGCAGCUCAAGCCCUAAGGCUCAUCGGAGAGGAAGUGCCUCAUAAGUUAAGUCAACAGGUGCCCUUAUGGUCUGUGGAGGAUGUAGAGGAGUGGGUGAAACAGAUAGGAUUCCCAGAAGUUGCCAUUAGUUUCGUAGAAAGCAGAGUUGACGGGGAUUUGUUAUUGCAGCUAACAGAAGAAAAUCUUAGGGAUGAUAUUGGAUUAACGAAUGGUAUAAAAAGAAAAAGGUUUACACGAGAACUUCAGCAAUUAAAAAAGAUGGCAGACUAUACGUCUAGAGACACAUCAAAUAUCAACAACUUCCUUCAAACAAUGGGACUCGAAUUCUCUAUAUAUACCUACAGUUUCUUAAAUGCUGGGCUUGACAAAAAGGAUUACCUACGAAAUAUAUCUGAGGACCAGUUGUUAACCGAAUGUGGAAUUAGUAAUUCUAUUCACCGGCUAAGGAUAAUGGAAGGUAUCAGACAAUUAGAAAAUGGCCUUGCCAACGGUAUGAACGAAGACAACCAAGAUAAAUCCUUAGACGUAUUCGUAAGUUACCGACGGUCCAACGGUUCCCAACUAGCCAGUUUACUCAAAGUCCACUUGCAGCUCCGAGGAUUCAGUGUCUUCAUCGACGUGGAGAGGCUGGAAGCUGGAAAGUUUGAUAACAAUCUCCUGCAGAGUAUUCAAAAAGCCAAACACUUCUUGUUGGUGCUGACGCCGAACGCUCUGGAAAGAUGUAUAGGAGAUAUUGAAAGAAAAGACUGGGUACAUCGGGAAAUAUGUGCAGCUCUAUCAGCUAAUUGUAACAUCAUCCCCAUCAUCGACAACUUCAUCUUCCCCGAACUCGAACAGUUGCCGGAAGAUAUGAGACAGGUCUGCCACUUCAACGCAGUUCGCUGGAUUCACGAUUAUCAGGAUGCUUGUGUGGACAAACUAGAAAGAAAUAUCAGAAGGAACUUGACCAGACGAUACUAAACAUAGAAAAAAAACAUCUUCUCUGAUAAAGCAUCUAUGUUCUACUACAGUACUUAAACAAAUGAAAUCCAUUUAUAGCUUAAAUAAUUUGAUAAGACGAAUAGAUGGAGAUAAUAUUUAAAUCUCAAGGAUGCGCUGAUAACGCAAGAUAAAAAGUAAUGCCAACCUAAGAUUGCGUAUUUAGAUAAUUAACUUGUCGCUUUUUUGCAUGCCUCACUAACAUGGUUGAGGUUCAUGCGAGGAGAAGCGAAUCCACGCGGGGACAAUUACAGAGUCACUUUGCCCAAAGGCGAUAUAACUCCAGGAACACCUUCAAAUCCCAGUUUGGUUAGGCAGCCGCCUAACUACCAAAGAAUGCACAGCAACGACUCAGGAAGUGGUAAAAGCUCCGACAAAGACAUG